UACGAAGGGUCCAAGCGUUAUCCGGAUUUAUUGGGUUUAAAGGGUGCGUAGGCGGCGCGGUAAGUCGGGUGUGAAAUCUCGGAGCUUAACUCCGAAACUGCAUUCGAUACUGCCGUGCUUGAGGACUGGAGAGGAGACUGGAAUUUACGGUGUAGCAGUGAAAUGCGUAGAUAUCGUAAGGAAGGCCGGUGGCGAAAGCGAGCCUCUGGACAGUUACUGACGCUGAUGCACGAAGGCCAGGGGAGCAAACGGG
rnacentral:rRNA from 1 species